AAAAAAACAAACCCUGAUUUCCGUGUCCAACAUUUGACUGUCCGUCUUAUUUGAAGAAAAUAUGAAAAAAAUUAAAAAGACAAGUCACGCAUAAAAUAUUAAUCAUGUUUUAUCAUCUAACAACAAUAAAAAUACGAAUUAUAAAAAAAUUUCAUAUAAAACGGACAGUCAAAGUUAGACACGGAAAUCUAUGGUUUGCUUCUU
rfam:Oryza sativa (indica cultivar-group) chromosome 3, whole genome shotgun sequence.